CAGCAAACUAGCUUGACGAAGCGAAAAGCGGAACUGUGACCGCCUGUUUGCUGAUUUGUUGUUCACAG
rnacentral:sRNA from 12 species